rnacentral:lncRNA from 1 species
AAUUAUAUGGUUGGGAUGAUUAAGGUCUCCACAGGGUGAUAAAGUUAAUUCAAAUGUUAAAAAUAAUUAAAAGGGUUGAUUUAAAAACAAAAAAAUCGAAAGCAUCAUAUUCUCUAUAUUUUCGAUAGCAUAGUAGCUCUACUCCAAUCUGUAUAUACACCAUACUAGAUAAAUAAUUAUUGGAUAAGCAGACAGUUUUUGUUAUUUCUAAAGAAGA